rnacentral:rRNA from 1 species
AAUGAACGCUGGCGGCGCGCCUAAUACAUGCAAGUCGAGCGAGAAGACGUAGCAAUACGUUUGUAAAGCGGCGAACGGGUGAGGAAUACAUGGGUAACCUACCCUAGAGUGGGGAAUAACUAGCCGAAAGGUUAGCUAAUACCGCGUACGCUCCCUGGACUUCGGUUCAGGGAGGAAAGCGCUACCGUGGGUAGCGCGCUCUUGGAUGGGCUCAUGUCCUAUCAGCUUGUUGGUGAGGUAACGGCUCACCAAGGCUUCGACGGGUAGCUGGUCUGAGAGGACGAUCAGCCACACUGGCACUGCGACACGGGCCAGACUCCUACGGGAGGCAGCAGUAAGGAAUAUUGCGCAAUGGGCGAAAGCCUGACGCAGCGACGCCGCGUGGGGGAUGAAGGUCUUCGGAUUGU